rnacentral:lncRNA from 1 species
AGGUUCAUCUAAUAAUAUCAGUUUUGAUUAUGAAACAGUUCCUCUCAUUACUCCUCCUGUAUCAGUGGUACCAGUAAUUGAUGGACAACAAGUAUCACUAAAUAUCAGCAUUGAUGUCAGUACAUUAUGUAAAGGAGAGUAUCCUAAUAGUAUCAUGGUUACUAUACUGAAUACUAAUAAUGCAUUAAUAAAAAAUACCAGUGUGA